rnacentral:rRNA from 1 species
UUAGAUGCAGCGCGAAGCACAUUACCUACUCCUGACAUCCUGCGUAUUCGGUCGAGAUACCUUUGUGCCAUCGGGAACGCAGAGACAGGUGCUGCAUGGCUGUUGUCAGCUCGUGUUGUGAAAUGUUGUGUUAAGUCCCGUAACGCGCGCGACCCUUGUCCUUAUUUGCCAGCACGUAAUGGUGGGAACUCUAAGGAGACUGCCGGCGACAAACCGGAGGAAGGUGGGUACGAUGUCAAGUCAUCAUGGCCCUUACGAGUAGGGCUACACACGUGCUACGAUGGCCGGUACAAAGGGCUGCCAACUCGCGAGAGUUACCGAAUCCCUUAUAGCCGGUCUCAGUCCGGAUCGGAGUUUGCAACUCGACUCUGUGAAGCUGGAAUCGUUAGUAAUCGCACAUCAGCCAUGGUGCGGUUCAUACGUUCCCGAGCCUUGUACACACCGCCCGUCAAGCCAUCGAAGAUGGAGUGC